UACGUAGGCAGCAAGCGUUGUUCGGAAUUAUUGGGCGUAAAGGGUGCGUAGGCGGUUUGGUAAGUCUGAUGUGAAAUCUAUGGGCUCAACUCAUAGUCUGCAUCGGAAACUGCCGGGCUUGAGUGUGGGAGAGGUGAGUGGAAUUCCUGGUGUAGCGGUGAAAUGCGUAGAUAUCAGGAGGAACACCUGUGGCGAAAGCGGCUCACUGGACCAUAACUGACGCUGAUGCACGAAAGCUAGGGGAGCAAACAGG
rnacentral:rRNA from 1 species